AAUAGAAAUUAGAAAGGAGCUUUCUCAUAUUACUCAACCUUAUUGUUACAGACGUGUUUUCACAACAUUUUGUGUUAGUUUGGAUUUUUCUGCAUAUUGAGAAUUGAUGACAGUAUGUUUGUUAGCCAAGUAGAACAUUGUAAGUAGUUUACAAUCUCUGAUAUUUUAGCCAUGUUAACCAGAAAUGGUGGUACAUUAAAGAAACUCCAUCACCUGUGGAUUCACUGUAGAUCACCAUCCCCAGAGUCUUGGAGGACAGUGAGCCACAAAACCAAUAAUAAUUAGGACUCCUAGCCGAGGUGAAAAGCUAUUGCCUCGUGGAACUAUUUUCCAAUCCUCCUCCUUCCAGCUGAGCUGGACUAGUGACACUAUAAAAUGGCAAUUAAAAGACUCAAGUUUAAAAAUACCUUCAGUUUCCCAGGUCCUACAAUGGCAAAGGUUAAGUGGAUUAUGUGGAGAUAAUUCACUCAGCUCCAGGGGGAGGGUGGUGAUUGCCAGGGCUGUUGGUUACCUCCCUCUCCCCUCCUCACUUGCUGAAGCAGUGAUUGUUAGAGUGGUGUCAGUUUUGCCAACCAAAAACAAGAAAAGGCCUGAAAAACUUUCCCAGUGGACCCUGCAAUUACUAAUGGGCACUGGCUGCAAAUUUCACUUUGAUACAGCCUGGAAAGCGGAGCACGGAAGUGGUCCCUAGUCCUCAGCUAACAUCUUAAUGCUAUUGACCAUUCAUGCAAGUCUUCCAAUAAAAAUACCCUGCUUCUUCAAGGGAAAAGGAAUAUGAAAAAGAUUGCUGGCCUUACAUGAACAGCUACUCUCCCCCGUGCUCCAACUGAAUUAAAACCACCAAUUACACCUCUAGUUGUGUGGCAACACCUACACUGUGUUUCCAAUUAACUUUGUAAGUUUUUAAUCAGUGACAAAUGCAUUUUUGUAAAUUCAAUUUGCCUUUUAUUGCAGCACCUAUAAAAUGUCUUGCAGCAUUCCGGAACUUUGUGAAGGUUUUACUUGCUACUGACAUAACGCAGCUGUCGGACCUACAACAAAGGCUAAGGUUUAUGAGCAACUUGAAUUAGGAUGUAGGUUAAGCAAUUAAAGUUCAAGGAGGGGGAGGGGGAAAUGGUUUCCCAAAAUUUGCACUUGCCAAUUUAAAAAAGCACAGCAAAAACAUGCUGUACACUAGGACGGGAGAAGCUAAAGUAGCUAAGAAGACCAUACCCAGCUUAAAAGUUGCUAUUUUGAGAGCUUUCCAUAUGUGAAAAGGUCACCCAGAUUUCAUUAAUAAAUCCGCUCUGCUGUUUGUUUUCUUUUUUAAUCAAACUCAAAUGCAUCCUGUUAAAGGGCUGAGUGAUUAGAUCAUAAAUCUGGAUGUCCUUGAAGAUGAUGAAGAAAACGCUUAUCUGUAAAGCAAUCAUCAUACUGCCAGUUCUGUCAUUUACACAUUUUUACACAUGCUGGAAAAAUGGUUUAAUUUUAAAUAAUUUGCUUGAAUUUUUAGGUAAGAAAAACAGUCUUGCAGAAUUUACAGUUAAAAGAGCAACUGUAUUACUUGUGACAUAUGGAAAGAACCCAUUACAUCUAAUCUUCUGUAUCUAAAUUCAGAGUAUUAAAACAAUCAACAUUCGUAAUAAACAUGAAUUAAUAUUUCAUCUGUGUAAGACUCAACUCUCAGUUCAUUAACUUCUGGUUCCAGUUAUACAAUGCAAUUGUCCUAAAUUCAACAACUCUGAAAUUAGUCAGUUUUAAUGGGGCCUGAGUACAAAUUUGCUUUGUUGGGUUUUAUUUGGACUAGUAGAGGCAAUCCAAAUGAAGUUAUCAACUAUAUUUUUAUAAUAUUAAUGCAUGGACAUCCUUGUUCUGUGGGGUCCAAACAGUUCAUAUUGUGGUAGAUUUUUUUUUCCUAAUUUUUAUUUUCUUUGGGUCUUGAUCUUUCCUUUGUUUGCAAAGUAUUUAUUCAGUACUUCUGGCAGUAUAUUUUUCUGUUGUAAGCAUAAUUAAGAUAUUGCUGCAACUUCUCCUGUGUGCAUUGGAUCUUACAGCUGAUUUGUCACUUUGCCUGAACCCAACUGUGGACAUGACUAUGACCAGCACCAGCAGCAUAUUUAGCUAUUGCAGUGCUAGCAGGAAGUUGGGAAAUGAAUGUCUCUUUGGAACUUUCAUGAAACUAUGGAUGUGGAAAAUAACUCUUGUGGAUUUAUCAACAUUCUUACAAGAGGAAUGAGAUAUGGAGCAAUAUUUUGAGGUGGAUAAACACAUGUUGCAGUUUUUAGCUGACUGCAUGACCUGCUUUUAUUUUAACAUAAACCCCAUCUAGUUUGAUUCAAUGGAGCAAUUUUGAUUUCUGGAGACUUGGUCCAUAGAGGUAAAAGUUACAAGGUAAGUCUGUUUGGCACUGAUGCUAGUGCCAAAAUGUGGCUCUGGAAUUUAGCACAGCGCACAUUAUCUGAUGACAGUAGACAUGUUGCAUUAUUUACUGCAUAGAGUGUCCACCCUGCAAAGAUUUAUCUGUUUGUUUAACUUUGUUCUGUCUGGUUAAUUACUCACAGUCACAGAAGAUCCUUACAUGUGUAGAGUGAAACAUCAAUGUGUUUUAUUGUCAAAAUAUUUUUAAAAUUACUUGCUUAAUUGUUUACUAGUUGAAAAGGCACUAUAGUAAAAGCUUAUUGUACUUACCAAAGGUCAAAGGUUUCUAAAUUAUAUUUUCCCUGCAGAUCAUAGUGAGCAGAGGGAGUAACAGCAUCAUUCUAAAAUUUGUGUGUAUGCACUCAUAUGCACCUAACUUUACUUCACACAAUUUUCUUUAACUGACAUUUAUAAACAUUAUUUUUAUUUGGUUUGUUGUAGACCCUGCAAUCCUCUCCUCAUAAACGCAAACACUAACUUAAAUUGAGUUCAGCAAGCCAGUUUUGAGCUGCAUGCAGAGAAGAUUAAAAGAAAUAGUACAAAAUCCUCUCCUGGGAAAGAUCAAAUAGUUACUGGAAUGAAAGCAGCCUAAAACGAUAAGGUUCAUGCUUUUGAGCUUGCUCUUCCAUGCCUAGAGUGUGUAACACAUAUGGUAUUUAGAAAAAAACCUAUGGUCAAUGCCCAGCUCUCAACCAAAUAAGGAAUUGCAAGGACCAUGCUGAUCUGGAUUCUAAAGAGCGGUGUGUCAUUAUUAUAAAGCCUCCCAAGGGAUUGAUUCUCCCUUGAAGCCUGGAUAAAAUCGUUCCAAUGCUACCUGAAGGAUCAGUAGAGGAUAGCACUUCAAUUACAAGCAAGAACCCGGGCCAAAAAGGAGCUCU